CGUGAUAAAGCCAAACUUGUCGGAAGACGGGGACGGAAAGCUACGGGUCUAUUAAUGAUAGCCGAGCUGCCUUGG
rnacentral:ncRNA from 1 species